rnacentral:tRNA from 1 species
UUAAUUGAAACCAAAAAGAGGUAUGUUAUUGUUAAUAACACUAUUGAGUUCAACUCCAAUUAAA